rnacentral:rRNA from 1 species
AGGACUAACGCUGGCGGCGUGCCUAACACAUGCAAGUCGAACGAGAGUAGCAAUACUCUAGUGGCAGACGGGUGAGUAACACGUGGUCAACCUACCUUUAAGUGGGGGAUAACUAGCCGAAAGGUUAGCUAAUACCGCAUACGAUCUUCGCGUGGCAUCACAUGAAGAUGAAAGGAGCAAUCCGCUGAAAGACGGGACCGCGUCCCAUUAGCCAGUUGGUGGGGUAACGGCCUACCAAAGCAACGAUGGGUAGCUGGCUUGAGAGAGCGACCAGCCACACUGGGACUGAGACACGGCCCAGACUCCUACGGGAGGCAGCAGUGAGGAAUUUUCCGCAAUGGGCGAAAGCCUGACGGAGCGACGCCGCGUGUGGGAUGAAGGCCUUCGGGUCGUAACCACUGUCGAAGGGGAAGAUAUUGACGGUACCCUUGGAGGAAGCCCGGCUAACUACGCGCCAGCAGCCGC